CAGCCGCCACGGUAAUACAGAGGGUGCGAGCGUUAAUCGGAUUUACUGGGCGUAAAGCGUGCGUAGGCGGCUAAUUGAGUCGGAUGUGAAAUCCCCGAGCUUAACUUGGGAAUUGCAUUCGAUACUGGUUAGCUAGAGUGUGGGAGAGGAUGGUAGAAUUCCAGGUGUAGCGGUGAAAUGCGUAGAGAUCUGGAGGAAUACCGAUGGCGAAGGCAGCCAUCUGGCCUAACACUGACGCUGAGGUACGAAAGCAUGGGGAGCAAACAGGAUUAGAUACCCCCGUAGUCCCUGUCUCUUAUAC
rnacentral:rRNA from 1 species